GAGCCGCGUUGUCACGCGCCGUGGCGGGUACUGGACUGGCGGAGCCCGGGGAGUGAAGUAGUGAAAUCGGACCUACGCCUCUCCAACGCUCGCGUGAUCACGUGGUUGGCACCCAGGCGGAAGUCUGCGGCAGUUCUUUGCGGUGAAGAACUUGCAAAGCGUUGCUGGAAAAGACGGGAGUUCUACUGACACUCCAGUCCAAAGCUAGGUGGGACCGCCUCCUGUCGCACGUUUCCGCCUGGUCCCGCGCUUUAGGAGCUAGGAAAUGUGACAGAGGCGGUGCCUACUGCCUCGCUAGGAAUGGCCGCGGAGGAGGACUGGUCACGUGGCGUGGCUUCCGGCCUCUGGCGCGUUCCUAUUCGGGAAGGUUUUAAAUGCGGAGUCAUCUCUUGAUUUGUCAGCGAGGCUUUGACUGUGAGCUUCGCGGCGUUCGCGCCUCACCGCCUCACCGAGGGUGGGUCUUUCGCGCGCAGAAUUGUGUAGGAUUUUCCAAAGGGAGUAAAAGCCGAUCGGGGCCUACUUUUAACAUUCCACAAUUAGUAACGUCUGAUUCGUUUGUUUCCACAGUGGGUACGCUGCGAAGACUAGGCUUAUGUUACCCAGAGGUUAGUCCUCUACUAGGCCACGUACUUUAAAUAAUUUAUCACGCUAGUGGAAAUGCGGGGUGGAAGAAAACCCCACCAGCCUUUGGAUUGUAACAGCACAGUAACUUUCCCUGGUUUUUAAAAAUAUUGCCAAAAUACUGCGACUCCAUGUGGCCAACGUAUAGUGACUGAUCACUUUGAAAUGCAUGCCCUUGACCCACCAACUCGCAUGGCCUCUCGCUAUAAGAGAGCAAGCCGGCUGUGUUCCAUGUUCAAUUCAAUAAGUGCAAUUCAAUAAGCUUUUGACUUGUUCUGCCCAAGCAAAUCCUGCCUUUAUAUCGACCUUGCAAGCAGAACAGAGAAUGCUGUUUGGAAGGCAGAAUUCAUAGUACCUAGUUUUCUUGUCCCUGGGAAUUUUGAGGGACUUGAAAUGUCGCGUGGAUGAGUGAGGGAGUUUGUCUUCCAGAGACAAAGCAAAACGAAACGUCAAAGUUCUGUGCUGGUGAAACCAGAUUUGAAGAAUAUCAAAGGCGUCUUACCAAAGAGGAAAAAAAAUGCAUCUUGCCAAGACUUGAAGAAAGGGAUUAGAGAAACCAGAGGCCUUGAAUACUCAGAAAAUGGGAGAUUGUGAAUGGGUGUAGAGGAUAUCUAUGAACCUUGACAUUUCUUUUCACGCCAAGUCCAUUCCCCUGU
rnacentral:lncRNA from 1 species